UACGAAGGGGGCUAGCGUUGUUCGGAAUUACUGGGCGUAAAGCGCGCGCAGGCGGUCCUUCAAGUCAGAGGUGAAAGCCCAGAGCUCAACUCUGGAACGGCCUUUGAGACUAGAGGACUUGGGUACGGGAGAGGUGAGUGGAAUUCCGAGUGUAGAGGUGAAAUUCGUAGAUAUUCGGCAAGAACACCAGUGGCGAAGGCGGCUCACUGGCCC
rnacentral:rRNA from 1 species